CACUAUGGCCAUGCCACCCUGAACAAGCCAGAUCCCGUCUGAUCUCAGAAGCUAAGCAGGGUCAGGCCUGGUUAGUACUUGGAUGAGAGACCACCUAGGAAGACUAGGUGCUGUAGGCA
rnacentral:rRNA from 1 species